GUGUGUCCAUCGUCGGUCCGCCGCCCCCGCCCCCUGCGAUGACUCCCGGCUCGCCGGGCUCCGUGGCCGCGCCCGGCAGACUCACGGCGCGUGGCCGGGCUGCUGGGCCAUGGCCUCCGGGUUCCGAGAGCUCAGGGUUGAGGGAUCCGGACUGAAGGGAGCUUUCCCUCCUGCUCUCAACACCUGAGGAAACUGGUGGAAAGUUUGAGAAAGAGAAGUCCAAUCGUCUUUCCGCUUCCGCCCUCCCUAGGACACUCCGGCCACGGGAAGGAGCAGGAAAUGUCCACCUCUCCGAAGGACCACCGCGAGCCACGCCAAUCCGGUCUCCUUGCAUCUGCCCUGACUCCUGAACCUAUGAGAACUUUUGCUGUUUCCACAGACCUCCCUGGGUUGUUCAGACCACACAGGCCUGUCUGACUACUCUGACACUCCAGAUGCAGCAGCACCCGGCCAGCCAGCCAGCCCUCCCAAGGUCCCCUCUGCAGGCUGUGUACGCAGACCCUAACUGCAACACUAAGAGGAAACUUGGGCUGGAGACCUGUGGCUACCCGGUGUGGGCUUUUCCAUCUCGCCAGAACACUUUUUUUUCUGUGCCUGUCUUCCUUGGCUUGCUAACUCUGCAGGUUGUUCACUCCCUUGUUUUGUGUGCCCUGGGACAAGCUCCGCAUUUGGCAUGGAUCUCUCUGCACGGUACUUGGGAAUUGUUGGUUGCGCACGGGGACCUUUCUGGCCAUAGCUGAGGAUUUCUCCAUUGUGGGGUGCAUUCCCAUAGCCAGCCCUUUUCCUGUGCUGAGUCACAAGUUGGCUUCUAGGAUCAGGAUUAAUAUGCAUUCAUCAAGUGGGUGGGUUAGGAAAGAAUGGGCUCAUAAUACACAGGGAAGUGCAUUGGAACACUCCAGAACAUUCAUUUCCUCCUCAGAACGUGUGGCAUUCUUUCUGCAGCCAGACAAGGGCCUUGUACUGGAAAGUCCCUGCUCUUAUCUGUAGGAAGCCACCAUCAGGAUGGCCAGGGAGUCACAUAUAUCUUCUGUGCCAGGAUGGAUUUCUCCCUUUAUUUGUGUCUAUAGCAACAACCUCAGCAGCGUAAUCACUUACUUAGUGGCUACUGCAUGCUGAGCACCAUACCAGUGUCUCGUAUUAAUGAUACCUUGUCAGUCAUCACAGCUACCUGUGGAAUUGAUAUUAUUGACUACCUAAGUCCAGGGAGGAUGAGAUGAGCUCCUGCAGUCACCCAGCGAGCAGGUAACGGAACUGGAAUUUCAGUGUGCUCACUUCCAAAGGUACUCUUUUUGUUUUCUCCCUCCACUGAAAACACCAAUGCAACAUCUUUUGCGGGUAGCCCAGCAUCUUCCCCUUGCGGUGGACACGGUGGAUGCUGAUUUAUGCCUUUACUCAUAGUCAGUUCUGAACCCAGAACUAGAAACAGUUUUACACUACAGAGCACUCAUGUAGACGAGGGGCAAGCGUCUCUUUGAUUAGUGAAUGCAUGGGUUCCUUGGAAGAGUGGAAGCCUCGUCAGAACCCUCAGGUUUGACAGGACAUCUGUCUCCAGCAAUACAGCGGAUAUAAACAGAGCAGCUGCCAGGCUCUCUGCUGGCUGAGCUUGUGCUUCUAUCGCAAACCUGUUUUUCUAAUAUAGUGCUCCACUAAAACCACCCCUACUUGGCACCAAAAGCAUGAAUAAAUCCAACCCAACCAACUGUUCUUCCAGUGGCUAAAUCAGUCCAUAAAAAUCUGUGUAGCACCUACUGUGUGUCCUGCAAUCUAACCCCACACCCUUGACGGAGACAGGAGGUAAGUCCCAGUUGCUGAAGUGUUCCUGGGACCACCUUACUCUGUGAUGGGUCACAUUUAAGCUGGGGACUAUUUAACUGCAUACCAUAGCUGAUAGUCAUCAUUUCACCCUGCUUAUUCACAGCACAGGGAUUAAGGCAACUAAGUAACAUUUUUUGAAUUGUUCUUGACAAGGAUUAAAAUAACAACAGCAUUAGCACAUAUUAUCACUUACUGUUCAUAUAUGGGGGAGGGUCUCCAGAUGGGAAGGGGGGGUCACAGAUAUCCCCAAGAGCAAGGCUGGUCAGGAUGGUUUCUUGGGAUGGGCAAGUUCUAGUAGAUCUGGGGUGGCUGGAGUAUUGGACUAAGGAACUCAUUCUGAAGACAGUUUCUGAAGCAUAACGCAUUUGCUAAAAGCUAUUGGGGGAGGGGUGAAAAUGAAAGUAUAAUUCCUCUGUUGCCUAAAUCAGUGAAAUAUUUAUUAUAUUCUAAAGCUCAGAAUGGCACUGGUGCUGUCUUUUUUUGGGGGGGGGAUUCUUAAUGGCAAGAAUUCAGCACCUUUUUUAGUACCACUUGUUUGCAGGUGGCAGGGGCGCUAAUUAAACAGAGCCCCUAACAAUUUUCCUGGGUGGCUCUGACUCCCAGACUGGCAGGAGACGUAGUCUGUGUGUUCCUGGGAUCAGCUUCUCUCCCCAUUGAUGCCGUGACGCAUCCACGCGGGGGAGGGCGUGGUGGUGGUGGAGGGACGCUGCCCAGAACAUAGUUAUUGGUUAAUGAAUUAUUUAUAAUGAUCAAGCUUCAACUUUACUUUUCAAUGUUUAAGAAGAGGCCAGUCUUUAUGGGAGAGUAUAAAAAUAAAACCCAAAUGAUGGGGAGGAUCUGGGAAGGGGAAUUUAAUUGCAUUUUGGAGGAUUCUUUGACUCACUGAAGCCUGUUCAGUACGGAUAAAAUUCAGGAGUCUUUUGAGAGAGGAUUGAGCCCCGAUGGCUCCUGACAUUUCUGAGCUGUUUUUAAGAAUAAAGAGGCAAUGAGCUUGCCUGACCCCCGCUGUGUUCCGGAGUCCAUUGAUGUCACUGUUUGUCAACUCCCUCUGGGUUUUUGGCAGGGCUGAAGGCUGGGAUCAUGUCAUGAUGGUCAUUCUGAAGCCCAGAAUUAGACCAGAGGCGGAACAGUAGCCUCUUAUAUAGAACAGGGACCCAGAUUGUUCCUGUUCUACUUAUCCAUUUAUUAUUUAUUACUCUUUGACAAUUUAAUACAUGCGUAUAGUAUAAUUCGGUCAUUUUUACCUUUCUUUCCCCUUUCUCAUUCCCUUCCCUUCCCACUCCUUCUUUCCAAGUCUUCCUUCCCCCCCCCCAUGUCAUUUGUUUGUUUGUUUGUUUUGAUUUUAGUGACCCGCUGGGUUUAAUUAGGGUUGUUUGCAGGAGCAUGGAUGGGAGGUUGUUUACUGGAGCAUGGCUAACUAAGCAGCAGCAACUGCGUUGAAGAAAAUGACUCACCCACCCCCAAUACCAUUAAUUGCCAAUUCUGGGCGAUGUAGGGCCUCGUGAGCCUUCCCCCACCCAUUCGGGGGUGUUGACGGGUCCCAUCUUGUGUGGGUCUUGUGCAGGUAACCACAGCGGCUGGGAAUUAUCAAUGCAAUGGUUAUGUCAUGUCAGAAGACCGAGUUCACGCCACUCUUUCCCAUCUUCCCACUCUUGUCAUCUUUUUGCCCCCUUUAUUCAAUAAAUAAAGCGGCGGUUCUCAACCUUCCUAAUGGUGAGACUCUUUAAUGCAGUUCUUCAUGCUGUGGGGACCCCUCCCCCGGACCAUAAAAUUAUUUUCAUUGCUACUGUUGUGAAUUGUAACGUUAAUAUCUGAUAAGCAACCCCUCUGGAAGGGUCAUGACCCACAGGUUGAGAACUUUAGUGCCAUGUUCCCUGGUCUUCACUAGGAUUCAUGCUGUCUGAUUGUAUGCCACAGUCUCUAUGUGCUUCGGAGGCAUAAGAGGCAGAGGCAUGAGCAUCUUAGUAUGGAGCUUUAGGCAGCAAAUCUCAUUUCUAUCCGCCAUUUAACGAACAGAGCCCUGGCCAAAGCUUUGUCUAAGGAGUUUCUGUUUGUCUUCACUCCCAAAGCAGAGAUAUCCUGUGGCAUAUAUACUAGUCACAGCCAGUCCUUCCUCCAGGGAGUGCAUCCUUUAUUUUCUCCACAAACGGAAAGCCUGAGAAUGAGAUGCCUAGCAGUCUGAGUUUGCAGUAUCAAACAUCUAAUGGUUCCAGCUGCUUGGGGGAGCCUUUGGAAUACGUAAAUUUUCACUUCCUCUUGUUCUCUAUUUCUGAAGCUGCGCCAUGCACUUCCGGUACACAGGAACCCGGGAGGAGGAACUCCUGAGCCAACAGCCCGUGGAAAGGUGAACGUCAACAACCUUGUGCAGAGGCCCCACUCUUGAAUCAAGGGUGACAGAGACAAACACAGGUACCUUGGAAGUUCAGUGUUGAAGACUGACAGAUCAUCAAACUUGAAGAAACCCUUGGAGAUGGCUGCCCACUGAUCUAGGACAUUCAUUUGGGUACUUGAUGAGAAUGAAAAAUAAAUUCUGUUCCUGAGCUACCACCAUGCACAUCGGGAUGAGUUUUAACACCUGCUCUUCCCUGAGCACAGCAAUUGACUCGGCCUCUGGGAAGAGAGUUGGAGAAAUAUAUAUAUUGGCAAGUUCCUCAGUUGAGUUCGAGAAUCAGUGCUGGAGGGCAAAGGAUACCCACGCCCUUGCAGACUUACAGAAGACCCAUGAACACAAUGCUAUUGGCCUUGUAGGAUGGGGAGGAGAGAGAAGAAGAACUUUGCCUCCUUAUCUCUGCCAAAGAGAACAAUCUGACUGAAAAGGAAGAGAGAACUUUGGUAAGGGAAAAUUGAAGUUUGAGAUGAGUAAAGAUAUUCUAACGGCACCAAGCUGCUGUAAUUGAGCUCAAGCCUCUUGGGCAGGACAAAUGGUACUCCAGGGAGUAGAGAGAGCUCACUACUGAAGAUGUAGUAUAGAUCUUCCUUCCACUGGCGAGGUUUAAGGAAUGUAGAGACUGAAAGAAACUGGAAUGCUAGCGAUGGCAAAACAGCUCUGCCUUUCAAAGAUGGGAAAGAGCUGGCAGCUCCAGAAGCAAGUUUCUCCUAUUCCUCCUCAUUAAAUUCCCUGAUCAGAGUAUUGAGGACGAUUCAUGAGCAUAUGAAAACAACAACCAACCAACCAACCAACCAACCAACCAACCAACCAGAGCAGAACUCUCUAGAAUCCAAAAGCAAAACUCCAAAAAAGUAGAUGUGUUCCCAGUUUUGUGGUAGGCUCAUGGACUGAUUAGUCUUUUUGUUCGAUGACACAAGCUACCAUCAUCUGGGAAGAGGGGACCUCAACUGAGAAAAUGCCUCACCGUGGACAAGUCUUGAUUAAUGGUUGAUGUGGGAGGUUCCAGAACACUGUAGGCAGUGACACCCCUGGGCAAGUAGUCCUAGGUUGUAUUAAGAGAAUCAGGCUGAGUAAACCAUGGGGAGCAAACCAGAAAGCACUUCUCCUCCUUCACUUCCUCUUUCCCGGAUCCUGUCCUGCUUGAGUUCUUGCCUUGGCUUCCCUCCGUGAUGGACUGUGAUUGGGAACCCUUUCCUCCCCCAAAAGCAGGUCAUGGUGUUUUAUCACAUCAUUAGAAAGCAAACAAAGGCAGCUUGUUAGAGUAUUAUGUCAGGGAGCUGUUUAGGCUAGGCAGACACAAAGCAUACCAAGGCUGGAUACUUAUUUGGGUAUCUCAUGAUGAAUUUGUGCACAAGAUGAGGUACAGUGGGCCUUCCACACUUGUGAGUAGGACAAACCAAGGAUCAUAGCUAUUGGGGGAAACCGUGUCUAUGUUGGCCAUGAAAGGAUUAAUAUUUUUGAUCAUUAUUCCCUAAGCACUACCACACAGUGACUAUUCAUUUACUUUGCAUUAGGUAUUAUAAGUGAUCUAGAGAUGAUACACCACGCAUAGGGGCACAUUCAUAGGUGGUAUGCGGUGAUGCCACUUUACAUAAGGGAUUUGAGCAUCUUUGGGUUUUGACUUUGCAAAGGUCCUAGAAUAUGUCCCAGGACAGCAGCAAACAACAGCUGUAGUUUUAACUGCAUACCGGAAUACCCAGUAGGAAGAUUUAGAGUUUCUUUAUGGCCAUACUCAAAUAUGCUGACUAAUGCCACUGUAAAAAAAAAAAACAAAAAAACAAAAAAACAAAAAAAACAUUUGGUAUCCUUACUAGAAUUAUAGAUAUCAAUGACUUCUUUCAUACUUAACAGAUUUUUAGAUAAAAUGCAGAAAAUACUUUUAUUGUCAUAAUAAGGCCCAAAGAAUAGACUAGAGCACUAAACUAAAUCUAAUGGUAUGAAAUGCAAGAAAGAAAUUGUAGCAUUAGACAUCUAAGCCUUAAAGAGUCCCCUGUGAGGUCAGGGUGAGAGCCAUCAGCUACAAUACAAGAGAGGACAUCAGCUACAAUACAAGAGAUUAUAGCACAUGAUGUCAUGGCGUCCGUUGGCCAUGUUGUUUACCUGCUCCAGUCAUAAAGCCCUUGAUGGUUUGAUUGAGGGACGCCUGAUGGAGGAGCAGUCUAGGUUCACUGGGAGUCAUGCCCUUUGUGGAAUUUAGUUAUGAUUUCCUUUCUGUAAGAUGCCUAAGAGAUCCAGAGGAUACCUACCAGAGUUUCACCUGGUAGAGAUGUGUUGGUGGGUAUCAGAACUUUCUUAUUUGAAAAGUAUCUGAAGAACUGAGGAAAAUGGGUCCAAUGUCCAGGAAGUGCAGAGGUUAAGUGAAGCCUCUGGGGUCAUCUGAGACCUGUACAUACUUAUCUGAAGGGGUGUCAGAAGCAACAAGGCUUAGGGAAAUGGCCUGGUGGGCAAUUGUGGUGCCUUUGAGAAUGAGCUCUCUAACCAUCUAUCAGCUGCCCACAAGGGAUGGGCUGUCUAUAGAGAAAGAGUGGAGAGCAGUCGACCCCUUUAUGAUGACUUAGAAGAGAAGACUGAUUGGCAUCCUUCCAGAUAUCAGUAGCUGCUAUUAUUGGCCACUAUUUCUAAGAACUUAAAGUGUACCUGGCAUUAGCCGAAGCAGGUUCAAAUGCUCUGCCUGGUUUUCUUGGGUGGUGUAGCAAAUUAGCAUGGUACCAUUGGCUUGAAACAUGGCACAUGUAUUAUCUUACAUGGGAACUCUAAACUUAAAGCGUCUUUAGCACAGGCCCUUCAGCAUACUCCAGGGGAGAACCCUUUCUCUUGCUUCUCAAGCUUCAAGGGUCUCCCUACAUCCUGUGGCUCCUGGUCCUUUCUCUGCCUUCAAGGCUCACAGCAACACAAAAUCAUGAUUUUUGCCUUGUCUGAUUCUGACCUUCCAGCCUUCGCUCAGAGGGGGCUCUUGGUACUAUAUAGAUCCAUCUGGAUAGUCAUAAUUUAUCAUUAAAUUUCAAGGUAUUGAAACCAUAUCUGUGCAGUUCCUUUUUCAUGUAAAGUAAGAUGAUCCCAGCUUUGGGGGAAUUAGGAAUUAACAGCAUAAUUUAGAGAGCCGUUAUUCUGUCUACCCCCAGCCCUUUUGUAUAUUGACUCAUUUAACUUAUGGUCUCAUUGCUCUUGAGAGUUGGGUAUCGUUUCCACUCAAACAGAGAGAAACAGCUCAGGGAAGGUAAAUAGACCCACGGCAGUGCCAUGCUCAGAUGUGGCUGGGAUCUGAACCUGACUCUAGCCCAGUGCCAGUCCUGAACCACCGUGAGUUGUACCACUGGGUGGGUUAUCCUGGGCUCAGCCAGAAAUUUCAAGCCCUCACAAUCGCUUUUCUUUCAUCGUGUUAAUUUACUCAUGACGUUAUUGUGGUCUAUUUUUUUUCUAAACUGUACCGUGAAGUCAGGCACGUCUGGCUAAUAUUAAAUUUAACCGGUUUCUCCUC